UACAGAGGUCCCGAGCGUUGUUCGGAUUCACUGGGCGUAAAGGGUGCGUAGGUGGUGAGGAAAGUCGGAUGUGAAAUCUCCAAGCUUAACUUGGAAACUGCAUUGGAAACUGCCUUGCUUGAGGUUUGGAGGGGGGACUGGAAUACUUGGUGUAGCAGUGAAAUGCGUAGAUAUCAAGUGGAACACCAGUGGCGAAGGCGAGUCCCUGGACAACACCUGACACUGAGGCACGAAAGCCGGGGGAGCAAACAGG
rnacentral:rRNA from 1 species